UUCUAUCGUGAUCAAUGUCACCACCAACAUCAAGCCCUGCAGUCAGAAACAAGAUAACAUCGUGCAGGAAGGACAAAAAGGCUUCACCACAGAGGAGAUGGAGCAAAAACUGCAGACAAUAUGGGAGCUUGCUCAAGGUCAGAGUAUCGAGACGCUGAACUACGACACCAUCCAGGAUUUGUCGCUGCUGCUCGACUCGCCCAACCACAUUUAUGUUUUAAGGAAGCU